UAUGGCUCAGGAUGAACGCUAGCGGGAGGCCUAACACAUGCAAGCCGAGCGGUAUAGAUCUUUCGGGAUCUAGAGAGCGGCGUACGGGUGCGGAACACGUGUGCAACCUGCCUUUAUCUGGGGGAUAGCCUUUCGAAAGGGAGAUUAAUACCCCAUAAUAUAUCAGAUGGCAUCAUUUGAUAUUGAAAACUCCGGUGGAUAGAGAUGGGCACGCGCAAGAUUAGAUAGUUGGUGAGGUAACGGCUCACCAAGUCUACGAUCUUUAGGGGGCCUGAGAGGGUGAUCCCCCACACUGGUACUGAGACACGGACCAGACUCCUACGGGAGGCAGCAGUGAGGAAUAUUGGACAAUGGGUGAGAGCCUGAUCCAGCCAUCCCGCGUGAAGGACGACGGCCCUAUGGGUUGUAAACUUCUUUUGUAUAGGGAUAAACCUACCCUCGUGAGGGUAGCUGAAGGUACUAUACGAAUAAGCACCGGCUAACUCCGUGCCAGCAGCCGCGGUAAUACGGAGGGUGCAAGCGUUAUCCGGAUUUAUUGGGUUUAAAGGGUCCGUAGGCGGAUGUGUAAGUCAGUGGUGAAAUCUCACAGCUUAACUGUGAAACUGCCAUUGAUACUGCAUGUCUUGAGUGUUGUUGAAGUAGCUGGAAUAAGUAGUGUAGCGGUGAAAUGCAUAGAUAUUACUUAGAACACCAAUUGCGAAGGCAGGUUACUAAGCAACAACUGACGCUGAUGGACGAAAGCGUGGGGAGCGAACAGGAUUAGAUACCCUGGUAGUCCACGCCGUAAACGAUGCUAACUCGUUUUUGGGCUUUCGGGUUCAGAGACUAAGCGA
rnacentral:rRNA from 1 species